rnacentral:rRNA from 1 species
GACGAACGCUGGCGGCGUGCCUAACACAUGCAAGUCAAGGGGAACACCCGAUUUCGAUUGGGUAAGUAUACUGGCGGACGGGUGAGUAACGCGUAGGCAACCUGCCCUUAUGAGUGGGAUAACCCAGCGAAAGCUGGACUAAUACCGCAUAACAUUGUGAUAUUGCCUGAUAAUACAAUCAAAGGUUGCUUUUCGGAGCAAUCGCGUAAGGAUGGGCCUGCGUUCCAUUAGUUAGUUGGUGAGGUAACGGCUCACCAAGGCGACGAUGGAUAGCUGGUUUGAGAGAGUGAUCAGCCACACUGGGACUGAGAUACGGCCCAGACUCCUACGGGAGGCUG